CAAGACAUAUUUUAUUAAAGGUCUCGUGGAUUGCGGAGUCCCACGACAUCACCUCAUCGAUGCAGUCGAUGGUUUGUUCCAGAUUCAGGCUUGUUUCCGGGAAGAAACCCUGACAGAAAUUCAGAAGAAUGGGAGCUGCAUUCCGUUAGGACAUGAAUACAUGAAAUGCUCGUCUUGGGAACUCCUAGAAGAAUGAGCUGGGACCCACUUUCCGAGUCCUGCUAGAACCAGUGACCGAGAAAAUAAAAAUGCCCUGGAAGACAAGUGUGAUGCAUUGAGGUCUGUGAAAGCCACAAAGGAAGCAAAAGUCAAACAGCUGAAGGAGAAAGCACAUAACCUGGAAGAAUUCUAUGAACAAAGAAAAGUGCCUACAAAAAAGAAGCUGAAAAUGACACUGUGAACUGGUGGCAAAGAAGAAUCAGCUGGCAGCUGCAGGCAACAAAUUGAACAAACACGGGAACAGCUGCAGCAGGCAGAGCUCCCCUUUAGAUACCAGGUAACCUGAGUUCUGCCUGACAUACCGAACCCUUAGCACCUCACGCGGGUGAGUGUAGUGGCCCUUGGAAUCCCUGACCACGGGCUUUUCAUUGUUGGCUUUUUCAGCUUGCAGUUCAUGAGAAGAAUGCUCAGGACAACUAGGUAAGUGUUUUCUUGUUUCCUCCUCUU